rnacentral:sRNA from 12 species
GCCGUGCUGAUCCGAACUGUCACCGGAUGGUGCGCGUGCCUGGCAAUCGCCGGGAUAAGGCAGCGGGGCGCAA